CCAAUUUGGGACAAUUACUGCCACCUGCUGGUCAAUAAGAAGCAAUACAAGGAGCUCAAAAGCAUGUUCGCAGGAAUCAUCUAAGGGUUACCGGGGUUCGUCUUCUCCAGCUGGUACCAGCGAAAGAAGGCCCGUUUCUUCUGCUCGCUGAGGUCCGACCCCUGCUGGAGGAGCCAGUGGGAGAUCCGACUUUGACUGAUCCCUGGAGGAGGACGACUUCGUGUCACUUGAUCCAAGUCAUCCUCACUGGCCUCAAACCCAAAGCCCGGUGCAGUCAUGCUGCCUCCGACCACGGCCAGAGGAAACCGCGGCGGAGAAAGCUUCCCGUUGGCCACGGCGCCAAGUCCAUUCUGCACAACAACCGGCGAGGCUGUCGGGACCGGCAGAGGCGGGGAGGCGGCGUCCAAGUUGUUCCCAGGUGACAGGGAGAGUCGGUUGUCCGGAAAAACCGUCUGAGUGGAGGCGCAAGUGGUGGACGAAGAGGCAGAGACGGAGUUGGAGGAAGACAAGGAAGACGAGGGCGGCAGAUGUUUCCAGGCUGCACGAGUCCGAGCCUCAGAAACUCCUCAAGACGACGGCCUGAAACCGGCUGGGAGGCUCAGAUGCGGAGAACGACGGGGUCAAUCCUAUAAUGCUGACAAGACGCUGGUAGCUUCUUGUAAAGUGUCUCCAAAGCAGCGUGGGGAUUACAUGAUAGUGCACGCAGUGCCAGAAUAUUUUGACCCGGUGGCUCAAACCUCUGCAUUUUGAGCCGCUGGGUCAAAACCGCUCGGGAGACGAAGCUUUAGUGAUGAUUCCAGUUAAUGAGGUUGACCUCUGUCUGAGGAUUACACAAUAAUCAAGACUAAAAUAAAAAUAAAAAUG